AAAUAUUUUGGUUGGGUUAGCAAAGCUGAAAAAGUUGAGAAUAAUAAAUUUUUAAAAUUUUAAAUUUAAGGUGAAAAAUUAAAUCCUAAUUGUUUAAAUAUCUAUAUGUAAUUAGUGAAUAAGAAUUGCGCAGAAUGGCGUAAAAGAAAAAUAAAAUGAAAGAAUUUAAAAUAUAAUUUUUAAGUUUAUAUCACGUGUCCUAUUAUAAUUGAAACUUAUUAUGGAAUUCACUAUUACUGACUUGAAGCUCGAGUAGGUUCAAGUUAUUGACCCACAACCCAAGUAGACUUAAAGGAAUUUGGGUCGGGCCCCACAAAGUGGGCAUAUUGGAGUUCGCACAUCCAAUUCGUAGGUAUGCUAGAGCUCGUAGGCCUAGCUUACAAGACAAGCCCGCACAUUGAGUUCACACGUCUCUAUAUGAUCGCAAGGAGAGGUGCUAAGUCAAGCACGUGGUCCAUGAACAUGUGUUAAGUCUAGAACAAGAUACGUGUUAACAUACAUGAAGCUUGUCUAAGACGUCAUUUCAGUGAGUGUGGUGCAAUGAGUGUGGUCAAACUUUCGAUUGACCAUAGUAGACACAAAGAGAAAAUACUCAACAAUUUAGUGCAGUGAGUGUGGUCAAACUUUCGAUUGACAGAUUUUCAGCUUGUAACAAUCAAAAUAGCUCACCCAAAUUAAAAUUUCCCCAUCAAUGUUUUGUCAGGAUAAGUUGCUAGUAUUAUAUUGUUGCUAGUAUUAUACAAAACAAAAAGUCACAAAAGUGAGAGAAAACCCAGUCAUCAGCACACCAAAACUCGUUAAGUCAAUCAUAGUUGCUAGUAUUAUAUUGUAUCUUCUUACAUCGAGAGAUAAGGUAGGUGAGAAAGGGAGAUAAAAGACGGUGAGCUUGGAUGGGACAUUAAGGGGGAAGAGAGGAAAAAAUGUUAUGUGUCUAAUUAUUUCUAGUGUUUGAACCGUUUUGAGUCAUAUCUAUCUUGGAACUCAUACCGUCCUAAGCCUUAGAACAUUACAAGCUUAGAAGACCAAUGUGUUUCCUAUGCAAUAAUAUCAACUAUGGCUUAGCAACAACUAAAUCAAGACAUAAACAAUAAGGCAAAUCUAAAAGGUAAAAAGGAAUAGCUAAUUAAAAGUAGUGUGUGAUUCAAAAGGUAGACGGUGAACUUAGGAUGUGGAGUUCCAAUAAAUACCUAAACUUUUGGCAAUUCAAAUAGUUUCUUUAUAAAAGUUUGUAAAUAUUUGAGUCUUAUUUGUAUUAAGAAAUACAUAAUUUUAAGCGGUCUAAUAAUGAAAAUAUUAUAUUAAGCUUUAGUAGAGUUUAAUUAUAUAUAUUAUAAGAAUAGUCUUCCGUGUAUUUAUCCAUUUAAUUUAAUUUUUUUAUUUUGGUCCCUUGGAACGGUGCGUUUAGGGGGUAUGGGGAUAAUUUCCUAGGUCCCUGUCCAUUUUCACGCAUUUAAUUUUAGUCCUUUAUUCUGUUUUAUUGUUUAAUUUAUUUAUUUUAUUAUGAUUUAUACUUUUAAUUUCACUUAAAUUUCGAUUCACUCCCUUAUUUAUUUAAUUUCAGCCUUUCAUGAAUUUUAUUUAUUUAUUACUUCUUUAUUUUCAUAUACUUAAAAAUUGGAUUGUUUACAUUCUUUUAUUUGUGCAUUUUUUUGCUCAUUUAUUUUAUUUACUUAAAAAGAUUGCAUAAAUUUAAUAACAAAAAGGAGAAUAAAAGAAAUGAAAUUAUACCUGUCAAUUUGUUACUCUGAAGAGAAAGCAUUUGAAGAGAAGUCAAGUUUCCAAUUACAAGAGGAAUUUCACCUGAAACAUAUAAUUAAAUCAGUAAAAAUUAUAAAUAUUUUCCUAGCAAAACCUUAAUUUAUUUGUUGAGCAUAUUAGUGUCCAUUUGAUUUAUUUAUUUUUAGGGGGUAUGUGGAUAAUUUCCUAGUUGGUCCCUGUCCAUUUUCACGCAUUUAAUUUUAGUCCUUUAUUCUGUUUUAUUGUUUAAUUUAUUUAUUUUAUUAUGAUUUAUACUUUUAAUUUCACUUAAAUUUUGAUUCAGUCCCUUAUUUAUUUAAUUUCAGCCUUUCAUGAAUUUUAUUUAUUUAUUACUUCUUUAUUUUCAUAUACUUAAAAAUUGGAUUGUUUACAUUCUUUUAUUUGUGCAUUUUUUUGCUCAUUUAUUUUAUUUACUUAAAAAGAUUGCAUAAAUUUAAUAACAAAAAGGAGAAUAAAAGAAAUGAAAUUAUACCUGUCAAUUUGUUACUCUGAAGAGAAAGCAUUUGAAGAGAAGUCAAGUUUCCAAUUACAAGAGGAAUUUCACCUGAAACAUAUAAUUAAAUUAGUAAAAAUUAUAAAUAUUUUCCUAGCAAAACCUUAAUUUAUUUGUUGAGCAUAUUAGUGUCCAUUUGAUUUAUUUAUUUUUAAAUAUGCAAGUUUUGUUUAAUUUUAUAGUACUUAUGACAACCCAAAAAUAUUUUAAUUACAAUACUCAAAUUGAUAGUUGAAAUGAUGAUGAAAAUUAGAUGGAAUAAAAUAGUUCACGCUUAAUAUUUUUUUUCAAAUAUAGGAUACAUUAGAGGUGAUUAUGGGUCGGGUUCAGGCCGGCUGACUAAGUCAAAAUUUUAGGCCCGUUUUCCCGAGCCCGAAAUAUGGGCCUAAAAAUUUGUCCAAGCCCAGUCCAAAAGAAAAUUGCUAAGCCGAGCCCGACCCUGCCCUGCCCAUAUUAAAUUUUACAACACCAAAAUAGCAUCAAAAACUUGCAAAAUAUAUAUAUAUUUUAUUAAAAAUAAAAAUAUAUAUUUAAUAUAUAAUUCGGGCUAGAUUUAGGCCAAAAAAGUUUUACCCGAAGCCCGGCCCAUUUUAUAAAAUUUCCAAUUUCUGUAGGUAUACUUCCUUCCAAGGAGUUGCUCGACAAUGAUAAAAACUUCAAAUCUUUGCACUUGAAUAAACUAUUUGGAAUUCUACCGGAAAUUUGAUUCCAACUCAAGCCCAACCUUUCUAGUUUUGACAAAUUGCCUAGAGUAGAUGGGAUAACACCAAUGAAGUUGUUAAGGUACAGAGACAAUCUUUGAAGUUUACUAAAGCAACCAAACCAUGAUGGGAUUUCUCCAUUGAAGCUAUUGUUACCAAAGUCCAAAUACUUCAUCCGACGCAAAUUGGUUAACUCAAUGGGUAAAGAGCCAUGGAAACUAUUUUGAUGAAUGUCGAGCCAAGCAAGGAAAGAUAGAUUUCCCAAUUGAGAAGAAAUGGUGCCUGUGAGAUCCAUGCUUGAUAAAUUCAGAGCAGUGACUCUAUGGUGUCUAGAUCCACAUGUGACACCAAUCCAGCUACAAACGGAGGUAGAAGUAGACCAAUUGGUUGUCAAGAAAUUGUAAGGAUCAUGAGUUAUAUGAGAUUUGAGUGCUAGAAAAGCAGAUUGAUCAACGGUGAUGCUAGAAUAUUUUGCAGACAAAAUAACCCCAAAGGUUGCAAAUAGCAGCCCAAACAUAAACGGAGGGAGGAAGACGGUGAUAGUCUCCAAGAGAAAGAGACAAGCAAGGAGGGUGAAGGCAAAGUGGCAAACAAUACAUUAAUUACAUAUUUAUUUUUGCAUAUCUCAUUUUAUUUACUGUCACUAGACACUUUUUAUAUAUAUAAAUUAUUAAAUAUUAAAUUUCAUAUAUAAAAAAAUCCACAUAUUACUUAUUUUAUUAAUACAUAAACAGUAAAUCGUUUAGAUGAUUUCAAGUUAAAAAAAUUAUAUAUUUUAGAUUUUAUAUGGAUUCUUUUUAAGUUCAAUAUUCAAAUUAUUCAGAUUUUCCAUCAUCAGAGUUGAAUAGUUUGUAAUUCAAAUUAUUGCUCUCUUUUUACUUGUACCAAUAUUUCCUAUAUUUUUCUUAUGUUAAAAUAGUCAAAGUAUUAAAGAUAUAAUUAAUUGGAGAGAAGUCAAAAGCUAAUUAAUAAUAUAUAGGGAUUGCAUAAAUGUAACAACAAAAAGAAAAAAAAAUCAAAGCUACUUCAUGGUUGUAUUUUGUGAGGCUGAGGAAGUUGAAAGAGUAAUAAUUUUAAGCUGUCUAAUGAAAAUAUUAAACUAAAACUUUAGUAGAGUUUAAUUAUAUAUUAUAUUUUAAUUUUUUAAUAAAAGUACAUAUUUUAAAUCAAAAAUAUUUUAAUCAAAUCAUCUGUAUUAGUUUUGAAGUUCAGGCUUAUAUAUAUAACAUAUAUAUUGAUUGAGUGUAUAACUUCAACUUCAAAAAGAUAUUUUAAUCAAUCAAUUUUAUUAGUUUUCGAGUUUAGGCUUAUAUAUAUAAUAUAUAUGUCGAGUUAGAAAUACUACAAAAGGUUGACAUUUUUUAAAAGUACGAUAAUUUGAAUAGAAGUAACAUAUGCUAAUGUAGAGUAAUUGUUCCAUAUAAUCCUUUUUAUGAUGAAAUGAUUGCUUCAUAACUUCUUACACUUAGACAUAAUAAUGAGGUUUUAAUCUUUUAAGGUAACUUUUAUUUUAUUUACUUAAAAAAUUGCAUAAAUUUAAUAAAAAAAAGAAGAAUAAAAGAAACAUGAAAUUAUACCUGUCAAUUUGUUAUUGCUAAGAUGAAGAAAUUGGAGAGAAGUCAAUUUUUCAAUAACAAGAGGAAUUUCACCUGAAAUGUAUAAUUAAAUCGGUCAAAAUUUGCAAAUAUUUUCCUACCAAACCCUUAAUUUAUUUGUUGAGCAUAUUAACGUUUGUUUCAUUUACCUAUUUUUAAAUAUGCAAGUUUAGUUUAGUCUUAUAGUACUUAUGAUAACCCAAAAAUAUUUUAAUUAUAAUACUCAAAUUAACAAUAAAAUUAAAAAAAAUAUUUAUCUUUGUGCUAGAAAAAAAACACCGCAUAGAUCAUAAAAAGGAAAAACUAAAACAUCCAAAAGAAUAUGUCAAACACUAAACACAAAAUUCAUAGUUGUAGAGGAGAAUUAGAUACAUUGGUCCCAUAAUAUGUCACUCAAAAUCUCAAAUUCAUCCAACAAAAAGAAAUCAUCACUUUAGUUAAUUAAAUCAAGAACAAAUAAAGUUAUGGAUGAACAAAUAUGGGAAGCAAAGAAAUGUGAUGGAUCAAAAGGGACGGAUAAGCUAAUUUCUGCCAUAAGGUAGAUGGUGAACUUAGGAUGUGGAGUUUCAAUAAAUAUCUAAAAAUACCUAAACUUUUGGCAAUUCAAAUAGAUUAUACUAAUUUUUAAUUACUUAAAAAUAUUGCAUAAAUUUAAUAACAAAAAAGAGAAUAAAAGAAACAUGAAAUUAUACCUGUCAAUUUGUUAUUGCUAAGAGAAAGGUAUUGGAGAGAAGUCAAGUUUCCAAUAACAAGAGGAAUUUUACCUCAAACAUAUAAUUAAAUCAAUAAAUAUAUAAUUAUUUUUAUUAAUUAUUUUAAGAGUUUAAUAAGGCAAAUCUAAAAGGUAGAAGAAAUAGCUAAUUAGAAGUAGUGUGUGAUUCAAAAGGGUAUAAAGUAGGUCCAAAUUAAAAAUCAAAUUUUAAAAUAAUUUAAUGUAAAAUUUAACUCUUUUCUUAUCACAAAUAAAUUUACUUUCAGAGAAAUUAGAAGUUUUAAUAAAAUAGUUGAAAUAAGUGAUUGUUUAUGACUAGGUGAAAAUUAGAUGAAAAAAACAUAUAAUUAAUAAUUUAUAUAUCUAUUUCUCUCAUACUAUGAACUAUGGUCGAGCAAAAAUUAGUAAAAAAAUCAAACGGAUAGAAAUAGCUUAGUUAGAAGUUUGCAUAUCUCAUUUUAUUUACUCUCACUAGACAUUUAAUCUUUUAAGGUAACUUUUAUUUUAUUUACUUAAAAAAUUGCAUAAAUUUAAUUAAAAAAAAAGGAGAGUAAAAGAAACAUGGAAUUAUAUUGUCAAUUUGUUAUAGCUAAGAUAAAGUGAUUGGAGAGAAGUUAAGUUUCCAAUAACAAGAGGAAUUUCACUUGAAACGUAUAAUUAAAUCGGUCAAAAUUUGCAAAUAUUUUCCUACCAAGCCCUUAAUUUAUUUGUUGAGCAUAUUAGUGUCUGUUUCAUUUACCUAUUUUUAAAUAUGCAAAUUUAGUUUAGUCUUAUAGUAAUAUGAGUAAUAUUGGGCUCCAACCACAGUACACGGUAAAAAAUGAAAGCCAGAAAAAUGCAAGACUGCAUGUCUACACCAUAUUAUUUUUAUAAAUAAAAGAGUAAUUUCUCUAUAUAAAUAAAUGAGUUGGGUUGGAUUUCAUUUAAUUGAAAAUGAGUUGGAUUGGCUGAUUAUUUGAUUUUGGGUUAAAUGAAAAUCAACUUCUGCCUGGAUGUAGGUAUUGGGUUUAAUGUAACUUAUAUAAAGAGUUUAGUAUGUCGCUUUAUUUGACUUAUUUGGUUUGGACACUCAAAUUUGAAAUUGAUCAAUUAAACCAAUAGAAAUGAGUCUCAACUAAAUAAAGUGAAAACUCAACUAAAUAGAAUUGGAUUAAAGUGAUUCAAUUAAUCAAGUUUUCACAUACUUAUAACCAUCGUGAUUCAUUCAUAUUAUUAUUCUCAUACUAUAUUCAUGUUAAGUUGAUGUAUUUGGAAAGAUCGAAGCUUUUUUCUAUUUUAGGGUGUCUCUUGGAGCACAGGUGAGAUUAUUAAGAUAUUAUAUAUUUUGGGCAAAAUAGUUUGUUUCUUUUCAUAGGGAAGACAUUUCUAGACAAAAAGAACAAAAGUUAGCAGUCGAGAUGUCGGAAAGUUGGAUCAAUCUUUGCACUGAUGGGGCGGUCCAAAUUGCCCUGGGUGAUUCUGAAGCGGGGGAAGUCAAAAGAAAUGGAAAAAGGGAGUGGAUUAUGGGAUACAACAAAAAUCUAGGCAAAUGCUCAGCCUUCAAUGCUGAACUAUGGGUAGUUCUUGAUGGAUUAGCUCUCAUUCACAAAGGGCGCUAUGAUGGUGUAUUGAUACAAACUGAUAGCUUGGAGGUGACUAAAGCCAUUCAGGACUCCUCUCCCUCAAGCUCGAAUUCUACCCUCAUCAGAUGUAUAAAUGUACGUUCAUGGGCCAUUCAACAUUUUCCUAGAGAACAUAAUAAAGUUGCCGAUUGCUUGGCCAAAAUGGCCUUUGAUACGAAUAUGUCACUUUAGUUAAUUAAAUCAAGAACAAAUAAAGUUAUGGAUGAACAAAUAUGGGAAGCAAAGAAAAAUGAUGGAUCAAAAGGGAAGAAUAAGCUAAUUUCUUCCAUAAGGUAGAUGGUGAACUUAGGAUGUGGAGUUCAAAUUAUUGAUAUUUUUCUUAUUCUUAUAUUUUUCUAAUUUUAAAGUAGUUAAAGGAUUAAAUGUGUAAUUAAUUGUUUUAAGUCAAAAGUAUUAUAGUAAUAUAAAAAUAAAAUAUGAGUAUAUAAAGAAAUACUCAAAUUUGUUUCUUAUACUCAAAAUGUUUACACAUAAUACACAAUAAUAUUUAUAACUUUUUUUAAUGAAAUAAUAUUCAAAACUACAACUUUAUUUGGAAGAAAAAUUGGAAAUAAAUAAUAUUUGCUAUACACAUGAAUGAUUAGUAGAGUUUAAUUAUAUAUAUAUAUAUUAUAUUUUAAUAUUUAAUAAAAUUACAUCUUUUAAUUCAAAAAGAUAUUUUAAUCAACCGUUUUUAUUAGUUUUCGAGUUCAGGCUUAUAUAUUUAAUAUAUAUGUCGAGCUAGAAAUAGUACAAAAAGUUGACAUUUUUUGAAAGUACGAUAAUUUGAAUAGAAGUAACAUAUACUAAUGCAGAGUAAUUGUUCCAUAUAAUCCUUUUUAUGAUGAAAUGAUUGCUUAAUUUACUUCGUAACUUCUUACAUUUAGACAUAAUAAUGAGGUUUUAAUCUUUUAAGGCAACUUUUAUUUUAUUUACUUAAAAAUUGCAUAGAUUUAAUAAAAAAAAAAGGAGAAUAAAAGAAACAUGAAAUUAUACCUGUCAAUUUGUUAUAGCUAAGAUAAAGUGAUUGGAGAGAUGUCAAGUUUCCAAUAACAAGAGGAAUUUCACCUGAAAUGUAUAAUUAAAUCGGUCAAAAUUUGUAAAUAUUUUCCUACCAAGCCCUUAAUUUAUUUGUUGAGCAUAUUAGUAUCUGUUUCAUUUACCUAUUUUUAAAUAUGCAAGUUUUGUUUAGUCUUAUAGUACUUAUGAUAACCCAAAAAUAUUUUAAUUAUAAUACUCAAAUUAACAAAAAAAAUAUUUAUCUUUGUGCCAGAAAAAAAACACCGCAUAGAUCAUAAAAAGGAAAAACUAAAACAUCCAAAAAAACACUAAACACAAAAUUCAUAGUUGUAGAGGAGAAUUAGAUACAUUGGUCCCAUAAUAUGUCACUCAAAAUCUAAAAAUCAUCCAACAAAAAGAAAAUCACUUUAGUUAAUUAAAGCAAGAACAAAUAAAGUUAUGGAUGAACAAAUAUGGGAAGCAAAGAAAAAUGAUGGAUCAAAAGGGACGAAUAAGCUAAUUUCGGCCAUAAGGUAGAUGGUGAACUAAGGAUGUGGAGUUCCAAUAAAUACCUAAACAUAACUAAACUUUUGGAAAUUCAAAUAGAUUAUACUAAUUUUUAAUUACUUAAAAAUAUUGCAUAAAUUUAAUAACAAAAAAGAGAAUAAAAGAAACAUGAAAUUAUACCUGUCAAUUUGUUAUUGCCAAGAUAAAGCACUAGAAGAGAAGUCAAGUUUCCAAUAACAAGAGGAAUUUCACCUGAAACAUAUAAUUAAAUAAGUAAAUAUAUAAUUAUUUUUAUUAAUUAUUUUAAGAGUUUAAUAAGGCAAAUCUAAAAGGUAGAAGAAAUAGCUAAUUAGAAGUAGUGUGUGAUUCAAAAGGUAUGAAGUAGGUCCAAAUUAAAAAUCAAAUCUUAAAAUAAUUUAAUGUAAAAUUUAACUCUUUUCUUAUCACUAAAUAAAUUUACUUUCAGAGAAAUUAGAAGUUUUAAUAAAAUAAUUGAAAUAACUGAUUGUUUAUGAGUAGGUGAAAAUUAGAUGAAAAAAAAACAUAUAAUUAAUAAUUUAUAUAUCUAUUUCUCUCAUACUAUGGAUUAUGGUGGAGCAAAAAUUAAUAAAAAAAUAAAACGGAUAGAAAUAGGUUAGUUACAAUUUUAAUGUUAAUUCAAUAUUUUAAAAAAAAAACACACACACAUUGUUUCCAAAAGGGUAAGAAAUAGAUCCAAAUUAUAAUUUAAAAAUCAAAUUUUCAAUAACAAGAGGAAUUUCACCUGAAACAUAUAAUUAAAUCAGUAAAUAUUUGUAAAUAUUUUCCUGGCAAACCCUUAAUUUAUUUGUUGAACAUAUUAGUGUCUGUUUGAUUUUACUAUUUUGAAAUAUGCAAAUUUUGUUUAGUUUUAUAGUACCUAUUUUAAUAAUAUAUACCUGAUAAUAUAUAACAACUAAUAAUUGAACAUGAAAUGAAAGCAACUCUAAAUGCAUGACUUAAGUGAACUUUCUUUAUCCAACAAAGAAUUAACACUUCCAUCUCCAUAAUUUUCAUUAUUUUUUACUCAGAAUCAACGAAAAGAAAAAAAAAAAGAAAAAGGUUAAGGUGAGGAUAGUAAUUACCUUACGAUAAGUAGUGCCAUCGGGUUCAACAGUCCAACCAGCCUCAUUACAAAGAGCUUUGAGAACUUCAUUGUUAUCGCAGUGUUUUGGAAGCUUGUAGUUACCGUACAUCCGAAGUCCAGCGAAGAUCUUCGCAGCAAUAGCUCUCCUCCGCCGUUCUCUCCGCUUGUUGUUCUCUCUCUCUUUCCAUGUCGGCAUCCUCGUCCCCGACGUCAUUUCCAAUCGAAGAAAAACAAACCAAUACUAGAUUUCUUGAAUUUAUAGAAAAAUUAAUUGUUUGGUUAAAAAGAAUAGAAUUUGAGUAAAGGCAAUGAAAAGCAAAAUGAAAGAAAAUGGGUAGGAAAAAGAAAACGAAGAUGAGGUAAAGCUAAGGAAUUUAAGCUGCAACGGAGCCGUUUCAACUGUGAUCGGAGAAAGAAUUUUCCAGUUUCCAACUUUUAGACCGUUGAGUGGAGAGAUAUCAGACGGCAGUGAUUUUAUGGCGGAUGAACCGGUGGGAACGGGUAAAAGGUGAGUUGAUGAGAUCCAGUUAAAGAUGGAUCUGGAUUGGCGGAUCAAUGGCUGGAGCGGAGCAGAAAUCGACCGGGAAAUAUGGUUUUGGGUUUUGCAAAGAGUUGGAAAACCCGGGAAGAAAGAACAAUGAAAACGAUGAAUUGAGUUUGAAGGCUUGAAAUGAAAUUAGUGCUUCUCAAUUAACACUGAUUUGCGAGGUGGUCAGCUAAUACUGCAGUGGUUGGAUAUCUUUGCCCCUUGAUCUCUUUUCUAUUUACAAAUUUGCCACUUAUAAUUCAUAUAUUUUGUUUUAAUAAUAAUAUUAUUAUAAUUUAACAUAGUCAAAUUUGAUAAGUUGUUGAAUUGUUGUUAAAUGUUAAAUACCGACUUAAAUGACUGAUUUUUAUUAAUUUAUUAAAUAUAAAUUAUUAAAAUGAUAAUAUCUAAUAAUUAUUAGUUUGUAAAUUAUUGAAUUAUUGAUUUCAUGUUUAUAAUUUAACAGUGGUAUUACUCGAUUACAUUAAUUUCUUAAUUUUUAUAAGAAUCAAAAUGUGAUCAAUUAAAAUUGAAACGAUGAAAUUCUUAAUUUGACCAUUAAAAUAUUAUGUAAACAACAACUCAAUUAAAUUGUUUAAAAUAUAAAAAAUUAAAAAUAAAUAAAAGAAAUAAAAAGGAAUUGUUCAAUACAAAUUUAACACCUUUUUUAUUUUUUUAAACAAUUUUAUUAUUAAAUACUGUCAAUUUUAUUGAAAAAUUAAGAGUGUAAAUAUAUAAAGAUAAUAGGACUAAUUGCCGUUAAAAAAGAGAGAUAAAACGGAUGAUAUGAGGGACAAAAUAAGGAAAAUAAAGGGAGAGUUCACGCGAUCAACAAUGCAAAGCAACACGUUAAGCGUUACUUUGAUUGCUCUGCAUGACCAACGUGUGACUUUAGCUCGCCACGUGGCCACUGCCUUCGUUGUUGCUUCAGUAACCGUCCCUAUCGAUCACCGUCCAAUAAGAACCGGACUGCAAUACGACACGUUUCGCGAUUCAGCGCACGUGCGAGAUCCCUCUUUAACGACUCCAAAUAUAUUAUUAAUGACUAUUUCUUUAUUCCGCAACCAUUUUAAAAAUUCACUCUUUUUUUAAAAUAUUUUUAAUAUUUCAAGUAAAGAUCUUCAAACGAUUAAUUCGUUAAUCGAACUGAAUUACUAUUAAUUAGAUUAUUUAAAAUAUAAAAAUUUUUAACCGUUAAUUAAAUCGAAAUCUUUUUUAAAUACAUUAAUUGAACCAAAAUAUUUUAAUUAAUUCAAUUAACUGACCGAAUUAACAAAAAUUUAUAUAUUUGUCUUUUGAUUAAAAUAAGUAUAAAACAUAUAGAGAAUACAUUAUUAAUGUUCAUUUUUUUAAUAAUUCAAAAAAUUAUAUUGUAUAUAAUGUAUAUUAUUUUUUCAAUUAAUAUAAAAAAUAAUAGUUCAAAAAAUGCACUACUAAUAUAAAACAUAUAUAACGAAUUAACUGAUAACCAAAAUUUAAAAAAAUCACUAACCAACCUCCAACUGAACUAAAUUCGACAACCAACCAAAUAACCAAAUUAGAUCUAUUCAAUUGAUUGGUUAGAUUUUAACCGAACUAUGAAUACACCAAUAUUCGGGGCUCUUUCAUUGCAUUUUGCUAUCAUUUUGUUUGUCCAAUUAUAAAAAAUCCAAAUAAAUAUAAAAUAAUUUGAUUUAUUAAAAUGGGUAAAUAUUCCAAGAAGUAUUUUACAUAUUUAUAUAUUUAUAUAUUUAUAUUCAUGGUUGAAAAUGUGAUAACUUCAGACGGAAGAUUGAAACCGUUAACAUAGUCAAAGAGCCUUGGAGAGAAUCCAUAGAACAAUCCUACAUGUUGACUUUGCCGAUAUUUAUCAUAAACAGUUGAACAGUUCCAAUCAAAAGUCAAAAGUAUAAACUAAUCAAUGAAAAAGAAGAAGCUGUUCUUCUAACUUGUUACUUUGGAUAAACCAAGUGCUUCACCUUUUGAAUUCCAUCUUCUAGAUUUUGAUUUCUAGAUAACAUAUACAGAUAAAUCACAAGAAUGUAUAAGCAACAUAAAUAUAUUUAAAACGAAAAAAUCUCGGGUUUGAUUAUGGGGUGCCUAACUGUUUACCAGUCGAACUGCUAUUGUAUGCUUGAUCGACCGAAGGACGGAAAACUCGAUUAAAAUGGCUUGAAUGAAUGAUCUGAUAUGGUGGCUAGAUUACUGAGAGAUUUGCAAGCAGUCAACAAAGGAAAUGGGUCAUUUAUUGAAUGUAAAUUACAUACCUACAUCGGUCAUCGGUAUUCUGCUUCGAAAAUUCAUCUUUAGACAUGUGCUUCUCUGCAAAGAACACCUUUCAUGUCACCAGAAAAAGCUAUGCUCGUCUUUCUUGCAAUCAUAUCGAUAAUCUGUAACAUUGAGUCGAACAAAUAAAGGGAAACAGCCAAAAUGAUGAUACUGACAUAGUUACAGCUGAAUUUACCUAUGUCACUCCGACUCUUGACGUUCAUUUUCCCUUGAGUAUUUAUCCAGCACAUAUUCAGACAUGGAUAUGGAGAUAUAAUCCUACAAAUAUAGGGAAAAUUACAAAAGUUAAACAUAUUCAUAUCUUACUUCAGAGUCCGAGUAAGAGGAAUUUACAAUAAGUACCUGUAGGAACAUUUUAGGAGUCUUGGCAUGUGGGUUGACUUAACUUUAUAACCACCUUCAACAAUUGGUUGAUUGAAUCUUUUACCUCAUCCGGAACGGUGAGUUUUGCAGGCACUAAAUCUAAAACAUACAAAGUGAUAACUUUCAUUACAUCAACCAGAAGCAAACUGUUGGUACCGAUUCCCCAUACACUCUUACUAGCAUAUACUCGCACGAAUCCUUUAACAUGCAUCGACUGCAUACCUGAAGAGAUCACCCAUCAGUAAAACAAACAACAUAGGAAGAUUUGUACUCAGUAUAGUAAACAUUGGAAUAAUGGCUUACAGUGUUUUCUUGAAUUUUAAAGAACUUGCGCAAUCUCUUAGCAGCGAAGACAUUAUUUUUAUCAAGGGAAGCGCAACCAAAGAGCACCACUUUUUUCAAGUGACUUCCCGGCAACCAUCUGCAAAUACCAAUAUCGAAGGUUACUACUUUAUUUACAAGAAGCAAAAGGACAGUCAUUGAAGUAAUGAUUCCCCAAAACGAUGGCAAGGAGAUGAGCUAUAUAUAAAAGCAAGAUAUAUUAAGAGAUCAACUGCAUCGGUGUACAUAUGGUUGACCAUAUCAUAUCAAGUCAAAAAUUAUGCUACAAUCAUUGAUUGAUAAAAUCUGUCACACCUGAUUUUUUGUCAAACACAUAGAAACCAACUUUGCACAAUUUUAGUAGAACAUCAUAUAGCUCUGCCAAACAUAUGCUGCUAUUAUGUACUUAAUCACUAACAUUGAUUUUAAGUGAAGGUUCAGUGCAUAUCUGCCAGCUUUGCAAUGCUUGAAUCUAAGACCUUGCAUUCUUACAGCAUGCUAUGGCUAAAUCUCUUGACAAUUUGACUGAAGAAUGCAGAGAAUUUUUAUAAUACCUCUAAAGUUUAUUUGUAUAAGGGGAGGGUUUAGGGUUGUCCAAGGAUGGAACCCAAGAUUGGUAUCAAUUAAAUACUUGAUAUCAAGUCUUUUGCCACUCAACCUAUGGUUCGGUCCAGAUGAAUAUCUCUAAUAUAACUACAUGAAAAAGAGAUGCUUGACUAUACACUUAUGUCUAUGAAUACCAGUAGUUUUGCACAUAUGUAUGCAUCUAUGCACUUAAAUAUGAUUACCCCUGUUUCCCUAGUUUCUGAAUUUCUUUUUUAAGUUUUCCUAUAUACCCUCUUACACCAUAACUAUACAAUAUGGAUAAGCUCAAUUCUUUUUAUAUAUAUAUAUAUCCUAUAUCCUAGCUCGAACUCUAGUACUUAAGGAAAAAUGAACAGUAUAUAACAAUGAAGUAAGAAACUAAUAUUAUCAAUCCACCUAGUUAUUAUGAAUUCAUUUGAAAAAUGCAAAAUAACCAUAAUCUCAAACUCCACUUUCCCCUACAAUGUUAAGAACAACCAAAUAAAACAUCAAGUACAUCAAUCAGCCAACAUGAAUAAAAAACAUUAACAAUUGUCAAACAAUGUCAAAUCCAAAUUAAAAAAGAAAAAAAGGAGAAAACAAAAGUUCUUACUUUGCAAUAUCUUGAUGAUCUUUACCAAAAUUGUAAGCAGCAAACUUGAUAACAUCCCUGCCAUAACUAUUCUCAAAGUAACCAAAAUCCAACUUGUUGUCUUCCACAAAACUAGCCUCCUUAAAAUACCCUUUUGCAUACAAAUGCCUGAUGAAAAUCUCAGCUAACUGUGAAAGACCCUUCAAAGCUCUUACCUUUUCCCUUUCUCUUCUAGCUUUCAUCUUCUUUUUCAUCUUUUCUUCUUUGUUUUCAUCCCCUAUAAACUCAACCAAACACUUGAAUUUCUUGAGUCUUUUCCCAUCUAAUUUCUCUGUUUCUUUCUUUUUCCCUUUUGGGUUUUCUUUGAAAUUCCUAAAUUCUUUCACCGACUCAUUGAUUUCGCCUUUUCUCUGGGUUUCAGUUCCUGCGGGUUUUACUGUUAAAACAGUGUCUCGAAACAACAGAGAAAGUGGGGUUUUGGUUGGUAGCUGGGAAGAGGAAUUAAGGGUUCUUCUGAUUAUGAAUGAUGGUGAAGGACAAAGGGUUUUGUAAAGAGGAUUGUGGAUUUUGAGGAGAACUUUGGUACGCGUAGACAGAAUGAAAGCUUUGAAGAGAUACAUUUUGCAGCGGAAGGGUUUAAGAUUAAAAGGAGGGUCUUUUCUGCAGAGGAGCUUAGGGAUCUUAAAUACACAUCCAUCUUUUUAUUACUUAAAAAAUUACUUAUUUAUUAAUAUUAAUCUAUUUUUGUAACUAAAUUUAAAUAAAAUUUUAUUAAAUAAAUAGCAAUUUAAGCUAAAAUGUUCAAUAAAGCUAGGCGAUUUCAAGUGUUAUUAUUUGAAGGUUUGAUUCUUCAGUUCAAAUUAAAAAAAUCUUUGGGGGUUAGGCGAUUUAUGCUUUAAUUCCCAUAAAAUACCAAUAAAUUUUGCUUAAUUGUAAGCUUAUUUCAUUACUAUGAGAAAACCAAAAACAUUGGUAAGAAGUAUUGAAUCAAUAAAUUAAAAAAAAAUUAAUACAAUACUUUUUACUGGAUUUUUUUAUUAAAAAAAGUCCCUAACUUUUGUAUUUUCUUCAUUGACAAGGGGCUUAUCCAUUGAGAUGGCAAAGUUAGCAACCUUUUGCCCAACAAAAAGGAGGAAAUGAAGGACUCGGAUUCUAGUGUUUCAGCUUGCAUGUUUGAUUCCAGCGAUCGACAAUGGUGUCGAAAUACAAGUCCUGGGAGCCCUUGUUGGAUGGCAACCAAAGUUUUGGAGCCCGGAACUGGAUACAACUUCAAGGCUGAUAUAUGGUUGUUUGGGAUGUUUAGUUGGAGUUGGCUCAUGGUCGUCUGCCCUUGUCGAUAUAUCUGCCAACAAAGGCUCAUGACUGAAUUAUGUUUGACAUAUUUGAAGUUCUCGAAGCCGUUUAAAGACAAGGUUGCAAUGUGGUUGGUGAAAGAUCAAACCAAGAGGCCAACUGUAGAUAAAUUGUUGAAGCACUUGUUUCUCAAGCAUGCAAAGCCUACUCAGCUUGCUUUAAAGAAGCUAUUGGAUACACAUACUUAGACUUCUAGGUGAGUGUCUACUUUAACAUAAGCUUAUUUUGCCACCAAAAGCAAAAUUAUCACAAAGAAAGUGAAACAAAAAGGGGAAAAAAAUUGAUUGUAUAUUUCCAUGUAUUAAGAGUUCAAGAUAACAGAAAAUUAAGGUCUAUUUCAAUCAAGAGAAAUAAGGUACGAAAAAUUGAUCAAGAGUAUCAAAAAGAAUUAUCAAGAGUAAAGGUGUAUCAAGUAUACAAAAUACAUGUUGGUAGAAAAAAGAAUUAUCAAGAGUAAAGCUCUACUUACAGUGGGGAAAGCCAUCCGAGAAAAAAGCAGCUCCAUGUUAGUAAGAAGCUUUCAAAACUGGUGAAGAAUGGAGCUUUUUUAUAUUCAAAAAGAAAAAAUAUAUUGUAUGAAUAAAUCUAUCUGUUCAAUGGCUCUAACUGUACUUCAAUUACUCCAGAACUCUGUGAACCUUUUCGAGCAAAAGCGUCGUUCGGGCUUAAAAGGUCAAUGGAAUCCUCUUCUGCGACGUUGCCGAGAACCCAGUUGCUCCUUCCUUGUAAUCUAUCUCUCUGUUGUCUUUCACGAUACUCCAGAUAAAUUACAGUCAAUGCAGCAAUCAAGAACCAUAUUAUUAAUACCCAGCUAAGAUCGUGGACGUUUUCUACUCUAUAUCUUUCUCCUAAAUGCUUCAUUCCAGUAAAAAGUGCUGCAAUUCCUAUGGCAACGGCACCUCUGCCGAUAAUUACAUGGAAAUACUCCCAAAUUAAUCUCUUUGUGGAAGCAUCCUCCCCAUUAGCAGGUUUCUCCGGUCUGAGAUAUGCAUUCAUUGGUUGCACAGAGGCAAAAACUAUGGCAGCAAUACCAAGCUUAACAUGUAACGAGCUGACAUAGAAACCCCGAAGUUCGGCAACUGCAAAAAGAACACCAAGUAGGAUAAUUGCUAAUCCUGAAUAUUGUAGGUAAAUAUGAAUUUGGUACCAUCCAUCACCCUCUACAUGUUUUAGGUAUCUAGCAGCCAAUAUUCCACCAGGAAUCAAAAUACCCCAGGAGAGGAACAUCAUAAACCCAUGUACAGCUAAGACAGGUUGUAAACCUUGCUCAGCCUCGGAAGAACCACGGAUAAGCAGCACUUGCACAGGCCUUUGACUCGUGACCGUAUGCAUGUUUUUCUCACUGAGAUGUUCAUCAGUCCACUUUGAACCCAUUGCCCAUAUGACUUUAAGAGGAGUUGUAGGAUCAACAAUGUUCUUGCACUCUGGCUUAUCAUUUUGAUUGCAUGAUGGUUUUAAUGGACGUGUGAAUUCCAAAGUAAUGAUGCCAUCUUCUGACUUGCACCUGACAUGUGUCAGAUUCUCAUUUGUUGGAUGGAUGUUCAAGGGACGCUUUCCAUCAAUCGAAUAUGUAUUUAAAUGCCCUUUUCCAGUAUCGCCAAUCCAGCCCACAUAUGCAUAGCUAUUCACCAUCCCAUUACCGAAACCUAUUGCAAGAUAGCCACUCUUCUUCACACCACGGGCAGCAAUAGUUAUUGAAUCUUCUGAUAACGUCCAAAAGAAAGUGACUUGUUGAUCAUCUAAAAGCACACUAUUGUUAUACAUAUCGGACAGGGCACCAUCAACAACUUGAACUUUCCAUCCCAUCUUCUCCUGGUACAAGGAUUGAUAAUACACUUGAUCGGGGGUAUUCCUAUCGGGAACCCAAAUCAAUUCGUGAGGAUUUGCUACAACUCCUUCCGCUUCUGGCCCUCCAGAAUAAAUAGUCUCAGUUGCAUUCCUUGAUGUAGCAUUCCCACCUAGAGAAUCUGAAGUAAUAUACAAUGCAACAUCAUGCCCUGCCUGCACCAAAAACUUAACUGGCACCCCUCUUUCCACUCUCAACACCGGUGCUUCCUUAUUAUUAAUAUACAAAACCUUAGACGGACUUGGCGGAUUUGGAUAAUGCAACACCUCCCCUGUUGUAACAACAAGGGGAACUUCUGUAUCAGCAAUAAUCAACUCUUGAUCCUCAUUAUCAUCAGCAUCCAAUGGCCCAAAACAAUCAUCUACCUUCUUUGAAACAUUAAGCACCAAAUGUCCAUAUGCAACCUUCUCUGGACCCCCAUGAAAUUGGGGUAAAAAAUGAGACCGAUUUUCAUUUGGUGGUUUCAUCAACCCUAAUGCCCAAAUAACCCUCAUAUCCUCAUUAGGAUACACAGGCAAAUCAUACUUCUUAUCUGUCGAAUUCAAUGGUUUCCUAAACAUAAUUAAAGAAACCCCAUCUCUCCUAUGUCCAUAAACCAACCUAGUAUUAUUCACCAUCAUGCCAUUUUUUGAGUUCUCAUAAACUACAUCAGGGCAAACACCUAUAGCUGUCCGAUCUUUAGAACUCAACUUACAUUCACUAUAAGCCGUAAUGUAAAAAUCAUCAACAAAAGGCCUACCUUCCUCAGUAAAACUUGCCACCGUAACAUCAGCUUCGGACAUCAGCUCCUUCGUCCUAUUCGGAUUUGCCCACCCAAAUGCCAUGUAAUAAGUCGUCGGCGCCGCCGCUUCUAACCCGAUCUCGAUCCAAUUUUCCUCCACAUUCAAGUUCCACCGGACCCUAUAAUUAUCCGACAAGUUCUUGCAGUUAUCAAACACUGUAUGCACCGAGUCCGAAAACGAAUCCGACCCGUUUCGAGGGAGGGUGACAUGGCCGAAGUCUGAGGUGCUGGCGAUGUCCCAGAUUGAAAGAACGUUGAUCUGGUCCCAGGUUAUGUCGGGGAGCAAUUGGACUGAAAACGAUACAUUUUUGUAAGCUGUUUGAUUGAGGCGUUGACCGGAGAUGGGGAACCCGCUGGUGAGGUCAGAGAAGUUGAGGGAGACGGCGCCCCAGAAAACGACGUCGGACGAGCCGGAUAACAUGUCGAAUCGGGUGACCUGGAAAGAGCAGCCAUCGAGGAUUUUGAGAUGGCCACGGAGUUGGUGUCGGACCAUUGUGAAGUUCGAUUCGAACCCGAUUAGGGAGCUGGUGUUGGAGCAUUUCUGACCCGAAUCCGCUUUGGAAGAGGCGAUGGAAUUGAUUAGGAAGAGCGGGAUUAGAAGGAAAAUUUUGGAAUUGUACAUUCGAAUCCGGUCGCGGGUGAUUCGACGGUGAUGAACGUUUUAAAGAGAAGGAAGGAGCCAAUGAGCGGCUGGUGGUGGUGAGGGGUGACUCGGUCAGCCGGAGCGAGUCGUCAACUUGUCUCGGUAUUGUUUUUAUAAUUUUAUUUUUUUCCUGCUUUUCUGAAGAGAGGAAACCUGAAUCCCAACUAUCUUCUCGACUAUCAGUUUUUUAAUUUUAAUUUAGUUCAAAUUUUUUAAUUUAGUAGUCCAACUAAUCAAGAUUUUUUUUUUGCCAAUUUCCGUUAAGUAGCGUUAAAUCUCCAAUGAGAGGACAUGACAGUCAAAAUUAAUAUAAUAAUAAAUUUAAUUUUUAAUUUUUAUAUUUUUGUAUCAAUUUAGUCAUUAUUUUAAAAAAAUUAAUCUUUAAAAUUUACAAAUAAUCUCAAUUUGUUCAUCAAAAUUUACCUUUUCUUUCCACUUUCUCCACUACCACUAUCAUCGUUGCCUCCAGUUCCGCCUUCUCCACCUUUCUCCAAAAAAAAAAAUAACCUUUUUCUUUUUUCAAUCAUGUUCAAAUUUAAGGUAUUAUAAUUUAUUUUGUGUUAAGUUAGAUGAAGCCUAAGCAAUUUAAAUAUAUGUGCUACUAUUUAACAAUAAAUUAGGUUGAAAUAGAAAGAGGAAAGGUAAGUUUUUUUCUGGGAAGAAAGGUGGAGGUGGAGGUAAUGAUGGCAAUCGCACGUGGUGAAGUAGAAGAGAAAAGUAAAUUUUGAGGAUCAAAUUGAAACUAUUUGUAAAAUUUGAGAGUUAAUUAUUUUAAAAUUUUGACUAAAACAAUAUAAGAUAUAAAAUUUGAGAGCUAGAUUUAUAAUUUUACUCAUUUUUUAACUACCAUAUUACCCUCCAUAGAGAUUUAAAGAAACGGAAAAAAAAAUCUCAAUUAGUUGAGUGACCAAAUUAAAAAAAAUUGAUAAUUAGGUAACUAAAAAAAGAAAAAGAAAAAUUGAUAAUUGUUCAUCUAUAGUGUAUAGAACUUAUGCACCAACAAUGCAUUAAAUAUUCUCAUUAAAAGAAAAUGUAUAAAAUAAGUUUUAUACUAUAUAUAAUUUGUAAAAAAAAAUUUCAAUAAAAAAUAAAAAAAUACAUCUAUAAACUCACAAAAAGAAUUACGUAUCUAUAAUAUCUUUUUAUAAAUUCAAUUCCAAAUCUCCUGUAAUAAAUCAACCCCACAAAUCUGAUUGAGGUUAAAAACAAAGAAUGCAUGUAUUGUGCAAUUAAAACUAUGAUCCAUUUUCAAUUCUAAAGUAUUGAACAUAUAAUUUUGCAUUAUUUCACAAACUCUUUGCAAUAAAUUAACCAUCUAUUCCUUAUUUCAAUUUUAUUAAAAAGCUAGGUUCCCAUAAAGACAGUCUUUACAACUCAGUGCACCUAUCAUAAACACAUCAGGGAACAUUGCCAUGAGAGAGGACCUAAGAAAACAUAAUACAAAGCACCCACACAAAAUGUUUAUUAAACAGCUACUGAAAAAGGCCUGCAUACCACCAAGCAAUGAAGUUUUCUGUUCUGUUUGCAACUUGUUGAACUCGCCCAAGUGUUGCCUUCUCUACCUUUUUGCAAAUCUUCGUCGGACUCGCUCCACGAUCCUAAUCAACCACCAUGGUUUUCCAGUCGUGAAUACAAUGUAUGCCAUGCUCAUUCCCAGCACCAACCCACAUCCAUACCCCAUCAAUAUUGAAAAUUUCCAAUUCAAUUCAUCACCAUCAUCAUCUCUAUCAAAUUUCGCUGGAGUUUCCUCAUCAGUACCACAGUUUUUUGAUAAUGGAAAACCACAUAAAUCCGAAUUUCCCAUGUAGGAAUCUUUAGUAAAAGUAUCAAAUUGUUUGCCUUGAGGAAUGGGUCCCUUGAGAUUAUUUUGAGAAAGGUUUAACACCUCUAAGAAUCCAAGACUUUUUAACUCUGUUGGAAUUCUUCCUUCCAGCUUAUUUGAUGAGAGAUCUAAUGAUUCAAGCUCUGGCAAAUUACCUAAAGAUGAUGGGAUAGGACCUACUAAACAGUUAUGGGAGAGGUUUAGGACAAUAAGUAAAUGAAGCUCACCAAGUAUUUUUGGAAUUUCUCCCCUGAAUUGGUUACUAGAAAGGUCAAUAACCGUCCAAAUGGAUAAUAGUAAUUCAAACUUUAUUUCCACUCCUUUUGCUGUAACAGAUAAACCAUAAGCAUAAUUCACCCAAAAUAAAUGUGCAUCUUUCAUGAUCUUUACUUCUCUCAUGUAAUUUGGUUCAACUUUCUUUCCAUACUCAUCUCUAAUGGCAUGCAUAUGCUCAAAAAAAAGAGUAGGUAAGUAGCCACUGAAAUUAUUGUGAGAAAGAUCAAUGAUUCGCAAUUUAGUUAAAGAAACUGUAAUAUCAAAGCUCUCUAUUUGGCCGUAAAAUCUAUUCGACCUCAAGAUAAGAACUUGCAGCUGAUCCAAAUUUCCUAACCAACUUGGGAAAGUGUCAUUCAAAUUGUUGUUUCCAACAUCGAGAAGAUUUAAAGCUUUGCAAUUACCCAACGAUCGUGGUAGUGACCCUUCUAAUUCAUUGUUGUUGAUGUUUAAACUUCUCAACAUGCAACCUUUAGCAAAAUUUUCUGUUAUUUGACCAUGAAAAUUAUUAUUCCCUAGAAAAACUGCUGUGAGAGAAGAACUCAAGUUUCCGAUGCACUUUGGAAUUGUUCCCUCCAAAUUAUUCUCAUCUAAAGCCAUAGCCACAAGGGAAGUCAAAUUGCAUAUUGAAGAAGGGAUUUCUCCAAUUAAGUUAUUAGUUGAAACUCCAUACAAUUGCAAUAAAGGUGGUGGUGUUGGAAUUCGACCUUAGAGAUAAAAUUGAAAAUGAGAUAGAAUUAGGAGUUUGAAGAUUCUUUGGAAUAAAAAUUAUAAAAUAGCUAUAUUUGAGAUAUGUACACUCAAUACAAAUAAUUGAUUAAUUUACUACACUACUUCUAACCAUUUUAAGAUGCAUCACAACAACUUUUAAGUUGUAAUCUAUUGGAGGAAACUACUACUAUCUUCUAGUGAAAAUUUUAUUUCCCUUACUUAAAAGUAAAAAGGGAUUGCAUAAAUGUAUAAAAAAUAGAAGGAAAAAUAUAUCAAACUAUACCUAAUAGUUUAUUAUAAAAGAGAUAACCAUUUAAUAUCUUACUUAUAUUUCAUUUUUUAGUGUUUAUUAUUAUUUUUUGUACUUUUAUGUAUAUUUUAUAAUUUAUUAUCGGGGUUCACGGUUGUUACUGUCAAGAAUAUCAUCUCUAAGACUUGAAUCUUGUUCUCCCAUUAAGAGAGUAAUAUGUUUUACCACUGCACCGAAUAUUUAUUGGUGUAGUAUUUAUUAUAACUACAAAUAAUUUUAAUUAUCUUUUUAUGAACCUCUAAAUUAGAGGUCAAAUAAAAAAGUAAAUUAAUUGAUGUAGUGUUUAAAUUUUUAUCAUUACAUGUAAAGUUUUAAUUAUUAGUUAUAAAUUUUUUUCCUCACAAUUGAAAUUUAAAAACGACAUUUUAUGAAAAUUAAAGAUAACAUAAUUAAUAGAAAAUUGACAUUUUCUUUAGAGCCGGAAUCUAAGUAGUAGCAAUAUCUGUAACUGGUAUUUCAAAUGUACAUUUUAUGUUUAUAAUUUUUAUAAGAUUGGGAGUUAAUUGAGAUUGUAGCCUCAAAAUUAGUGUUAUAUAUGAAAGCCAUUUUUUAUGAGAAUACUUUUCUAUUUAACAAUGAUUGUCCAACAUGUUAUAAUUGAAAUCUAUUAUGGAAUUCACUAUUACUAACUCGAAACUCGAGUAGGUUAAAGUUAUUGACCCACAAUCUAAGUAGACUCAAAGGAAUUUGGGUCGGGCUCCACUAAGUGGGCAUAUUAGAGUUCGCACAUCCAAUUCGUACGAAUUUGAGUAUUUUUUAUGAGAAUACUAAUCAAAUAGAAACUUGGGAAAAGAAUAGUGGCCUUUUUAUUCAUGUUUGGCAAAUUAAUAUACUUUGUUUCUCUCAUAAUAUAAAAUAUGUCCUGCGCAUAAAUUAAUUAAACAAAUAAAUAAUAAGGCAAAUCAAAAAGGUAAAUCUACGUCUAAAUUAUAAUUCAUAAUAUAAAUUAAUUAAUGUAAAUUUUAAAUUUUUUUAAAUCAUUAUUAUUAUCAAAUAAAUUCUCUUAAUAAAAUACUUUUAGUGAAAUUAGAAAUCUUACUUAUAAAUAAUAAUAAUAAUAAUAAGAAAUUUUGCUAUGAGCAAAUAGAAAAAUAGUCAAUAUUCUUAAUCAUUUUCAUUAAUUUAAGAGAUUUUGCAUGCUUAUUCUUUUAUGUAUAUAUAUAUCUAUUAUAGAUGUAGAUUAUAAAUUGUAGACAAAUAUUUUGGUUGGGUUAGCAAAGCUGAAAAAGUUGAGAAUAAUAAUUUGUUAAAUUUAUAAAUUUAAGGUGAAAAAUUAAAUCCUAAUAGUUAAAAUAUCUAUAUGUAAUUAAUGAAUAAGAAUUGCAAAGAAUGGCGUAAAAGAAAAAUAAAAUGAAAGAAUUUAAAAUAUAAUUUUUAAUUUUAUAUCACGUGUCGUAUUAUAAUUGAAACCUAUUAUGAAAUUCACUAUUACUACUUGAAAUUCGAGUAGGUUCAAGUUAUUGACCCACAACUCAAGUAGACUUAAAGGAAUUUGGGUCGGGCCCCACAAAGUGGGCAUAUUGGAGUUUGCACAUCCAAUUCGUAGGUAUGCUAGAGCUCGUGGGCCUAGCUUACAAGACAAGCUUGCACAUUGAGUUCACACGUAUUUAUAUGAUCGCAAGGAGAGGUGCUAAAGUCAAGCACGUGGUCCAUGAACAUGUGUUAAGUCUAGAACAAGAUACGUGUUAACAUGCAUGAAGCUUGUCUAAGACGUCAUUUCAAUGAGUGUGGUGCAGUGAGUUUGGUCAAACUUUCGAUUGACCAUUGUAGGCAAAAAGAGAAAACACUCAACAAUUUGGUGCAGUGAGUAUGGUCAAACUUUCGAUUGACAAUUUUUUAGCUUGUAACGAUCAAAAUAGCUCACCCAAAUGAAAAUUUCCCCAUCAAUGUUUUGUCAGGAUAAGUUGCUAGUAUUAUAUUGUUGCUAGUAUUAUACAAAACAAAAAGUCCCAAAAGUGAGAGAAAACCUAGUCAUCAGCACACCAAAACUCAUUAAGUCGAUCAUAGUUGCUGGUAUUAUAUUGUAUCUUCUUACAUCGAGAGAUAAGGUGGGUGAGAAAAGGAGACAAAAGACGGUGAGCUUGGAUGGGACAUUAAGGGGGAAGAGAGGAAAAAAUGUCAUGUGUCUAACUAUUUCUAGUGUUUGAACCGUUUUGAGUCGUAUCUAUCUUUGAACUCAUACCGUCCUAAGCCUUAGAACAUUACAAGCUUAAAAGACCAAUGUAUUUCCUAUUCAAUAAUAUCAACUAUGGCUUAGCAACAACUAAAUCAAGACCUAAACAAUAAGGCAAAUCUAAAAGGUAGAAGGAAUAGCUAAUUAAAAGUAGUGUGUGAUUCAAAAGGUAGAUGGUGAACUUAGGAUAUGGAGUUCCAAUAAAUACCUAAACUUUUGGCAAUUCAAUUAGUUUCAUUAUAAAAAUUUGUAAAUAUUUGAGUCUUAUUUGUAUUAAGAAAUACAUUAUUUGAAAGAGCAUAAUAAUUUUAAGCGGUCUAAUAAUGAAAAUAUUAUAUUAAACUUUAGUAGAGUUUAAUUAUAUAUAUUAUAAGAAUAGUCUUCGCUGUAUUUUUCCAUUUAAUUUUAUUUUUUUAUUUUUCCAUAACAUCCAACCGUUGUAGAGGAGGAUUAGAUACAUUGGUCCCAUAAUAUGUCACUCAAAAUUUAAAAAUCAUCCAACAAAAAGAAAUCAUCAUUUCAGUUAAUAAAAGCAAAAACAAAUAAAGUUAUGGAUGAACAAAUAUGGGAAGCAAAGAAAAAUGAUGGAUCAAAAGGGAGGAAUAAGCUAAUUUCUGCCAUAAGGUAGAUGGUGAACUUAGGAUGUGGAGUUCCAAUAAAUACCUAAACUUUUGGCAAUUCAAAUAUAUUAUACUAAUUUUUAAUUACUUAAAAAGAUUGCAUAAAUUUAAUAACAAAAAGGAGAAUAAAAGAAACAUGAAAUUAUACCUGU
rnacentral:lncRNA from 1 species